UACAGAGGGUGCGAGCGUUGUCCGGAAUCACUGGGCGUAAAGGGCGCGUAGGCGGCCUGAUAAGUAGGGGGUGAAAUCCUGUGGCUUAACUGCAGGGCUGCCUCCUAGACUGUUAGGCUCGAGCACGGUAGAGGCAGAUGGAAUUCCCGGUGUAGCGGUGGAAUGCGUAGAUAUCUGGAGGAACACCGGUGGCGAAGGCGGCAUCCUGGACCAACACUGACACUGAGGAGCGAAAGCCAGGGGAGCAAACGGG
rnacentral:rRNA from 1 species